AGGGCACCACCAGGAGUGGAGCCUGCGGCUUAAUUUGACUCAACACGGGAAAACUCACCCGGCCCGGACACCGUAAGGAUUGACAGACUGAGAGCUCUUUCUUAAUUCGGUGGGUGGUGGUGCAUGGCCGUUCUUAGUUGGUGGAGCGAUUUGUCUGGUUAAUUCCGAUAACGAACGAGACUCUGGCCUAUUAAAUAGACGGUAUAUCGAAAAGUAUAUCGCACUUCUUAGAGGGACAAGCGGCGUCUAGCCGCAUGAAAUAGAGCAAUAACAGGUCUGUGAUGCCCUUAGAUGUCCGGGGCUGCACGCGCGCUACACUGAAAGAAUCAGAGUGCGCUUUGCCUAGUUCGGAAGAACUGGGUAACCCAAGUAAAUUCUUUCGUGCUUGGGAUAGGGAAUUGCAAUUAUUUCCCUUAAACGAGGAAUUCCCAGUAAAUGCGGGUCAUAAGCUCGCGUUGAUUACGUCCCCGCCCUUUGUACACACCGCCCGUCGCUACUACCGAUUGGAUGACUUAGUGA
rnacentral:rRNA from 1 species